rnacentral:rRNA from 1 species
AGAGUUUGAUCCUGGCUCAGGAUGAACGCUGGCGGCGUGCUUAACACAUGCAAGUCGAACGAAGCACUUUAUUUGAUUUCCUUCGGGACUGAUUAUUUUGUGACUGAGUGGCGGACGGGUGAGUAACGCGUGGGUAACCUGCCUUGUACAGGGGGAUAACAGUUGGAAACGGCUGCUAAUACCGCAUAAGCGCACAGCAUCGCAUGAUGCAGUGUGAAAAACUCCGGUGGUAUAAGAUGGACCCGCGUUGGAUUAGCUAGUUGGUGAGGUAACGGCCCACCAAGGCGACGAUCCAUAGCCGACCUGAGAGGGUGACCGGCCACAUUGGGACUGAGACACGGCCCAAACUCCUACGGGAGGCAGCAGUGGGGAAUAUUGCACAAUGGGCGAAAGCCUGAUGCAGCGACGCCGCGUGAGCGAAGAAGUAUUUCGGUAUGUAAAGCUCUAUCAGCAGGGAAGAUAAUGACGGUACCUGACUAAGAAGCACCGGCUAAAUACGUGCCAGCAGCCGCGGUAAUACGUAUGGUGCAAGCGUUAUCCGGAUUUACUGGGUGUAAAGGGAGCGCAGGCGGUGCGGCAAGUCUGAUGUGAAAGCCCGGGGCUCAACCCCGGUACUGCAUUGGAAACUGUCGUACUAGAGUGUCGGAGGGGUAAGCGGAAUUCCUAGUGUAGCGGUGAAAUGCGUAGAUAUUAGGAGGAACACCAGUGGCGAAGGCGGCUUACUGGACGAUAACUGACGCUGAGGCUCGAAAGCGUGGGGAGCAAACAGGAUUAGAUACCCUGGUAGUCCACGCCGUAAACGAUGAUU